AGCUGUCUAAAGUUGAAAGGUUAUCUCAGAAGCUCAAUACCAUGUCUUACAUGGCUGGAUUCACCAAAAAUAUUCAACUUAUUACUCUAAAUAUCAACGUCAUUAUCAAUGCAACACGGUCAAUUAAAAAUUCCAAAAGGCUGAAAAAACUGCUUGAAGCUAUUCUGGCUUUUGGAAAUUAUAUGAAUAGUGCUAAACGGGGUCCAGCUUAUGGCUUUAAACUCCAAAGCUUAGAUAUGGUAAGUUAAGGAUUGUGGCAGUUUAAUUUCAAUGUUUUUGUUAAAUAAAAGAAAUUGCAUGUAAUAUAAGAUGUGUUUUGUAAUGACUCCUAUUGCUAUAUAUUUUUAGAAUACUUUUUAAAAAUGAAUUAGCAAAGUUUGCAGAUGAACAUUUAAGUGAGAAAGGCAUCAAAACGUUUUUAAAAUUUGGUGAAGUAAAAAAGGUGAACAGGGUUUCUACAAGUUCUGAGAAACCUGGAAUUUUUAGGAAAUAAUGCAUUUUUCAUUUUAACCUGGAAAA